UACGGAGGGAGCUAGCGUUGUUCGGAAUUACCGGGCGUAAAGCGCACGUAGGCGGCUACUCAAGUCAGAGGUGAAAGCCCAGGGCUCAACCCUGGAACUGCCUUUGAAACUAGGUAGCUAGAAUCUUGGAGAGGUCAGUGGAAUUCCGAGUGUAGAGGUGAAAUUCGUAGAUAUCUGGAGGAACACCGGUGGCGAAGGCGGCAUCCUGGACCAAUAUUGACGCUGAGGAGCGAAAGCCAGGGGAGCAAACGGG
rnacentral:rRNA from 1 species